UUGCCCCGCAGCCCAUGGAGGUCCAUGGUGGAGCAGAUAUUCACCUGCAGCCUGGGGAGGACCCCACGCUAGAGCAGGGCAUGUCUGAAGGAGGCUGUGACCCCAUGGGAAGUCCACCGUGGAGCGGGCUCCUGGAGGACCUGUGGCCCCGCGGGAACCCACACUGAAGUACUUUGUGAAAACUGUAUCCUGUGAGAAGAAGUCACAUUGCAGAAGUUCAUGGAGGACUGUCUCCUAUGGGAGGGACCCUACACUGGAGCAGGGGAAGAGUGUGAGGAGUCCUCCCCCAAGGAGGAAAGAGCAGCAGAGACAGCGUGUCAUGAAUUGACCACAACCCCCCUUCCCCAUUCACUUGUGCCACUGGAGGAGAGGAUGUUUUAAAGGAAACAAAUACAGAGCAUAUGAGAUACAGAAGGUAAAGAACAGUAGAAAACCAGCUGCAACAUACGUAAGAAUUAUCACCUAUUGUCAUCUGCAUGUAUGUUCAUACUUGUUUGAAUAUGAGUCAAACAUUACUCUGUAAUUUAAUUGAAGACUGUAAGGAUUAUGUUGGGCUGGGUGCUGAGCAGCUGCAUGUUAUGCCUGUGGCCCUGAAUCAGGAAAAGCAGAGGCAGCAUUUUGAGUGAAAGGGAAGCUUUUUUUGCAAAAUGAAGUCAAUGAUGAAGGGGAAAGUUAGUUCUCUUCACCUUCACAAAGCCCUGUUCUAUCGGUGGGAAGAGUUUGUCCACUUUGGAUUCUCUCUGUGAAUAGGUUAGGAAAAGUUCUAAGUUUUCAGCCACUGAGGAGCUAAUGUACUCUGUAAGAAGUCGAGAAAGUUAGGAAGCAAAUGUGUUAAAGGAACUUCCACCAUUAUAGUCAUUCAUAGACUCAAAACCAUACUUUUGAAGAACUAGAAAUAUAAUAUUAAUCACUAUGCAAGUGUAUUAUCUUUCUUAUCCUUUAAUACCAUCAA